rfam:Homo sapiens chromosome 15, GRCh38 reference primary assembly.
GCUGGGCAUGGUGGUGCAUGCCUGUAAUCCUAGCUACUCAGGAGGCUGAGGCAGGAGAAUCGCUUGAACCCGGGAGGCGGAGGUUGCAGUGAGCUGAGAUCGCGCCACUGCACUCCAGCCUGGGUGACAGAGUAAGACUCUGUCUCAG